rnacentral:tRNA from 1 species
UCAGUCGAAACCAAAAAGAGGUGAAUCACUGUUAAUGAUUUAAUUGAGCUAUCCGGCUGAC